UUGAAAUUGUAAAAUUCAGUAAAAUAUCAAGAACUGGAUAGAGACGAAGCUGCUGCAGAACAACACAAGAGAGGUGUGGAUGGAAUGAGGAGCAUUACUGAUUUGAAAAGGUCAGUAGGUUCAGUGCAGGGUAGAGAGGGACGUGCCAAUGAGCUAAACAGGUUCGACUGAGAAGAGGAUGAAAGGGGAGCUACGGUGGCCCUGAGGUGCAAAUCACAACAGCAAAUCAGAAAACACAACAACAAAAGAGAAAACACAAUGGCAAAUCAGAAAACAACGGCAAAUCAGAAAACACACCAGCAAAACAGAAAACACAACGGCAAAACAGAAAACAACACAAAAAGAGAAAACACAACAACAAAACAUAAAACACAACGGCAAAAGAGAAAACACAACACAAAAAGAGAAAACACAACGGCAAAUCAGAAAACACAACAACAAAACAGAAAACACAACGGCAAAAGAGAAAACACAACACAAAAAGAGAAAACACAACACAAAAAGAGAAAACACAACACAAAAAGAGAAAACACAACGCCAAAUUACUGAACACAACAACAAAUUACUAAACAACGGCAAAUCAGAAAACACAACGACAAAAGAGAAAACACAACACAAAAACAGAAAACACAAGGCAAAUCAGAAAACACAACAACAUCAACCAAACCGGAAAAGGUAGGUACCCUCGGGCGACAUGAAUCGUUGCUGAUUGGACAAAAGAAGUGGUCUGUCCUUUGAACCGGAAAGACAACUGGUCCAUCCUCUGAACCGGAAAGACGGGGUUUGUUUCCAUGUUUCCAAAUCAUGAGUGCCACAAAUGACGAGGUACGCGCUGCUAUUAAGCAAUACUUUGAUGCAGGACAUGAAUAUGACAUGAUACUGGAUAUGCUGUCGACAUUUCACAACGUAAACAUGAGUCUGCAUACGCUGAAGACGCGUUUAAAAGAAGAAGGGCUGUACAGAAGACGCAACUAUUCCCCACUCCCUGAGGUGAGGCGUGCCAUUUUGCCAGAGUUGGAAGAACCAGGGACACUCUUCGGUUAUCGGACUAUGUGACAAGUUCUCCAACAAAAGCACAGGCUUCACGUUAAACGUGAUGACGUAAUGAGGCUACUGAAACAGCUGAAUCCACGAGGGACAGCUUUGAGAACACGCAGUAGGUUUACAAGACGCACGUAUCACUCCAUGGGUCCAAACUACAAAUGGCAUGUAGAUGGAUAUGAUAAACUGAAACCAUUUGGCCUGGCACUCUCAGGAUGAGGACGAUGGCUUUUCGAGAAAAAUAAUGUGGCUUGUUUGUGAACCAACGAACAAUAAUCCAUCUGUCAUCGCUCACAAUCAUAUUAAUUGUGCCAAGAGUAUUGGUGUGGUUCCAAUGAGAUUGAGAAUUGACCUCGGAACAGAAAAUGGGACCACGGCAGCAAUACAAUGUUCCCUCUGUCACGCGCAUACGGACCACUAUGCAGGCUCGUCUAACCACAUUUACGGCUCAUCAACAUCGAAUCAGCGCAUCGAGUCAUGGUGAUUUUUUUCAGAAGAGGGAGGCUGGUACAUCUGUGUUGUUUGAUGGAUGAAAAGUACAGUGGAAGCUGUAUAGUGAUCACCUUUGUCUCUAUGACACUGAUCAGUGUUUAUUAUUAAAAUCUCCGUAUUUGUCAUUGUGAUUAUUAUUAGUGUUCUUGUUUAACUCAUGUAUCCACAUUUAAACGGUUUUAUUUGUAUGUAAGCCUCUUUGAGCACUUGUAAAAGUGCAUUAUAAAUAACAAUGUAUUAUUAUUUAUUAUAAUGCAUCCCCAGGUCUCAGUUUUGGAUGGACUUGUUAAGAGACUAAGAGACUCUGGACUCUUCAAUGGCAGCCACGAACACCAGUGCUUACUGAGAUUUUGCUUCAGUAAUGUUCUGCAGCAAGACCUGGAUGAAUGUAUGGAGCUAUGGAACAAGCACCGGAUUCGACCAAGCAGACAUGCAUCAGGUCCAGGAGGGAUUCCGAAUGAACUGUAUCUCUUGCCUCACAAUUUGGUUCAAGGGACUGUGGAUUUAUUGUUGAAGACAGGGAACUGGAUGUGUUUCCUGAGGCAAGGCAAGUGAUUGAUUUAAGCAGUGAUCCAGACAUCGAGGAAUACCUACAGCAGGCAGUGGAACAACACGGACUACAACAGCCACAAGACUGAAAGACAGCCUCAGAACUGUACAUCACUCUGAAGGAAAUAGCUUGGCUAUAGAUAUGGACUAUUGGAACCCCUGUUUCUACCUUUCUUAGGUAUCCCACAUUAACCUGGAUGUAUUAAGACAAUAUUUUCCUUAUUUAGUGUUUUGCUUUAAUGCAUCUUAAUGCUUAUCAGUAAAUGACUGGUGGACUAUACAUGCCUGAGUUUUGAAAAACACUUCCCAUUCAUAAAUGUGAUCCAACAUUUACAAAUUGCUUCAAGAGAUAAAUUACAGGAUAAUAUCCCAAAAGUGGUUCUUUUGAAUUUUCAGAUUUGGCAACUUGAACUGUGGGACUGAAAUGGAGACAUAUUGCACUUAAAGUUUAUUAUUAUUUAUUUUCUGAUUCAAUGUUCAUGUAAACAACAAUUACUUACAAAAAACAUUUGUUAUGAUGUUACAUUGGUUUUUGAAACAUAUGUAGAGCUGUAAGAAACAGGAAACAGCAAUAACAAUGAACAAAAAUCAGGACACCGCUCUGAGAUUUUUAUGAGUAAGAUAUCCAAGUAGCUAUGCAAGUAGCUAACUGCACAGAUUUGAACAAUGUACAGAAGCACUCACACUGGUGAACAAUUACUUUAAUACAUGACACGUCCCAAAUGGCCUUUUAACAAGAGAGGCAGUACAGUAACUGAUGCAAACAAGCAGACAUGGCCUUGUAAGGCAUUAUACUGACCAGAGAGUAGAGAAAAAAUAAAUAAAACAGAGCCUAAAUCAAGCCACAGCUCAAAUCACUUUUAAUAAAAGUGAUUAUGCAUGAAAGUCCCUUUGGCAACUAAAAACACCCAAAGCCUGGCGCAUUUUGGUACUGUAGGAGUAGAGUAGUGGGAGCUUGGGAGUUUGAACAUGUGGUUGCCAUUGGAAACGGCGAAUCAUUUAAAAACUCUAUACUUGGAUGGGUUGUUAUUCCCGCUGGUGGCAGUGCUGGCAAACAUCAGCACAUCUGGGAGGGACACAGCCAUCACUUCAUCUCUAAAAAGAGAAAGUCAACAUUGUAGUAGUGCAUUGUUUGACACUGCAUUAUCUAAAAACAUAAAGUGACUCAUUAGCUUUAUAUUUCAUUAAAGAAACUAAAACUUACAAAUAUGACUGCACUAUACAAUUCAUAUACUGUACAGUUGUGGAAAAAAAUAAAGAGGCCACUUGAAAACGA